UGUCAUGCUUGUUCCUUACAGUUUAUUACGUGGUGAAGUGUUGGAGAUGGAGCUUUGUAUAUCAGAAGUUAAAUCAUGAAUGAUUGUAUGAUUAGGUCUGGUUUGGGAUUACAAGAUGUCUAAGUGUCUUUGUAGGUUCUUUUUUUUUUUUUUUAUCUAUGACAUUGAUGUUAAUUUAAUGAUGUUUUGGCUUCUUUGAAUU